UCCAAAGCCUAUAUCACCCUGCAGCCCAAGACCGUUACUCACUGAAGCUAAGCAGGGCUGUGCCUGGUCAGUACCUGGAUGGGAGACCACAUGGGAAAACUAGGUUGCUGUUAGAA
ensembl:rRNA 5S_rRNA 5S ribosomal RNA